rnacentral:rRNA from 1 species
UAGGGAAUCUUCCACAAUGGGCGAAAGCCUGAUGGAGCAACGCCGCGUGUGUGAUGAGGGUUUCGGCUCGUAAACACUGUUGUAAGAGAAGAAUGACAUUGAGAGUAACUGUUCAAUGUGUGACGGUAUCUUACCAGAAAGGAACGGCUAAAUACGUGCCAC